GCACUUGAAUUCGCGCGAAGAUUGAAAUAAAUCUACAUUUUCUAUACAAAACACGAAUGCGACUGCUUUUUCACUUUUCACACUGUUUUUGUUGUGCACUUUCUGUUGUUAUUUUUCAUUUCUUUGUAACAGUCACUUUAUUAUUAUUGCGCUCUAGGUUCUGAGGUCCACUUCGAGCAGAUAUUAUUUUCAUCGUAUAUUCUCAUUAACGAGUAUUUAACUGAAUUAUUAAACGAGUAUAAAAAUUUGCAGUUAAAUACAUAACACUGUGUUUACCUACGCACAUAUGUACGCGAUUGCAACUUGUGUCAACAAAUAAACAACGCAAAUAUGUGUGCAGGAGGAGGAGGGGGAAGAAAAAAGAAUAAUAAUAAAACCCGCAGAAAUUACCUACACGCCAAUUGACGAUAAGCUGCAGUUAAAAGUAAGUAAGUAGGCAGCUGACAAGCACAGUGGGUUCGGGGCUUAUCAGCAGACAAAAAAAAAAACCAAAAAUAAUUACAAACUAUGUAAACUAGAAAAUUUCACAAUCGCAGCGCCAAUGCAAAGCUGAAGACGUAGGUGGAAGUAGGAAUGUCAAAAAUACGAAAUUAGAUGUAAUAAAUUAUGUAUGUAUGUAUGUAUGUAUGCAUGAGUCUACAGGAUAAGUAGAUGUAGAGCACUAAAUGCAUUCGUUAUCAAUAAAGAAAUUUAAUAAAAAUAAAAGGAUGAAUUAAA